CAAAAAGUGAAUAAAUCCCAGUACUCGAAGAACGCCGCCCCUAGGGUUGGUCCUGCUACUCUCCCUGCAAACAGGACCGAUAAUGGUGACGAGGUGGAGCGAGAAGAGCCCAGGCCUCAAAAUCCUUUGGAUUUGGACUAUAGGAACUGCGGCAGUCCUCGUUACGAACGUCUUCACGGCGAGGAUAAGGGAGAUGGACAAGAUUCUAAAUGAAGAGGACGCCCUCCGAUCCAAAACUGAUCCUGCCGCCGCAUCUUCCCAGGAGCACAUCAUCGCAGAUGAAUAGCCACUUUCUGGUCUUUGAAGGAGGUAACAGAACACCUAGUGCUAAUCCUGAUUUUGAAAUGCCACAACUUCAUCUUUCCUGUGUUAAACAAGACCUGAAUAAGAGAGAUAUCAGUCAAACUCUUCCUUUUGUUGUAGUUGUAAAAUAGAAUCACACUUUCAAAUACUCUGGCAAUUGUUAGUCUCAGAUCUUCACUGCCCUUCAACUUGAGAAAUACUUGCGCUUGUCUGUCGGCUAGUAUUUAAUUUUUUAACACUUGUUUUGUUGGCA